rnacentral:rRNA from 1 species
UACGCAGGGGGCUAGCGUUGCUCGGAAUCACUGGGCGUAAAGCGCACGUAGGCGGCUUGUUAAGUCAGGGGUGAAAUCCUGGAGCUCAACUCCAGAACUGCCUUUGAUACUGGCGAUCUCGAGUCCGGGAGAGGUGAGUGGAACUGCGAGUGUAGAGGUGAAAUUCGUAGAUAUUCGCAAGAACACCAGUGGCGAAGGCGGCUCACUGGCCCGGUACUGACGCUGAGGUGCGAAAGCGUGGGGAGCAAACAGG